GAUGAACGCUAGCUACAGGCUUAACACAUGCAAGUCGAGGGGUAACGAGAGGAAAGCUUGCUUUCCUUGUCGACGACCGGCGCACGGGUGAGUAACGCGUAUCCAACCUGCCCCCAACUAGGGAAUAACCUUGCGAAAGUAAGACUAAUACCCUAUAAUUUCCUCAGAUGACAUCUGACGAGGAAUAAAGAUUUAUCGGUUGUGGAUGGGGAUGCGUCUGAUUAGCUUGUUGGCGGGGUGACGGCCCACCAAGGCAACGAUCAGUAGGGGUUCUGAGAGGAAGGUCCCCCACAUUGGGACUGAGACACGGUCCAAACUCCUACGGGAGGCAGCAGUGAGGAAUAUUGGUCAAUGGGCGGAAGCCUGAACCAGCCAAGUAGCGUGCAGGAUGACGGCCCUAUGGGUUGUAAACUGCUUUUAUACAGGAAUAAAGUUAGCCACGUGUGGUUAUUUGUAGGUACUGUAUGAAUAAGGACCGGCUAAUUCCGUGCCAGCAGCCGCCGUAA
rnacentral:rRNA from 1 species